GGAGGGGCCUCCUGCCGACCACGGGACUGCGAGGCGGGGUCCCUUGCCACACGCGCCUCCGGGCCUUCCUGAGGGGAACCUUUGCUUUGCGGCUGUCCCCUUUAUUGCUCUUACUUUCCUGCCCUCGCCAGCCCCUCUGCCUCUCGGUCAGCUGAAAUGAAAGACCUCACUCGCCCCUUGCCCUAUCCCUCCUGUGAGGGUCGGGCAUACACUUAUUUUGAUCGUGAUGCGGGCUAACUGUUCGGUGGAAAGGUUCUCUUAAGCCUUUUGCGUCUAGCCACGUACUCUGCAGCGAAGUUGCAGUACGCCACAAUUUAACCUUUAGGCCCGAGGGAGUUUUCUCUCUCUCUCUCUCUCUCUCUCAAAUACAACUUUUAGAAUCUUCUGAGAACUGUACUGCAUUAGAUGAUCUUUGAGAUAAUUCUUAAAUUAGCGCCUCGAGGCAGUGCGAUGGGAGGUUCAAAGAGAAGGCUUUACACUUUUUCCUCCACCUGUAUCACCGAAUGAAAUGGAAAACGUUGAGUUGACGGUGAUUUUCCGCGAGAGGUGACACUGAUGAUAAAAAUCCCUUCAAGAAUUUAGAUGUGACAUCUGCAGCAGGUUCAAAUCUCUCAGCUAUAAGACAAACUGGAUACUUCGUAAAGAUUUUCAUCUGUUAUGCACAGAGCCAAAAUCCGUUACUGAAAUUGUCUGGGUGAGCUGCCUGCUGGGUCCAGUGAUGCACUAGUAGACAAAGAAGUUGAAAGAGAAGGAUGGCAUGUUCUUUGGAUGACUGGCAGAUUGUGACACCAAAAUGGCAUCAAGCCCUACUAUGAUUCCAAGGACUUCAUGAUUAAAUAAAAAUUGAUUUUUUUUUAA